GUGUGGUGGGCCUAAAAAGAGAAUAUAAUAUGGUCAGUUUAGAUGAAUAAUUUAAGUAGUUGUUAGAGUUUGGAAAAAUAUUUUGUGUUUUUUAAAUACACCAUCUAACAUAAUUUUUAGGGUGCGUUUGGUUCGCAUUAUGAAAGAUUACUAGGAAUAAAAGAUAUCCAAGAAUUUUAUUCCUAUUCAUCCUACUACUAAGAAUGUGAAAUUCCUAUGUUUGAUUAGCACGGUAAUAUUAAUUAGUCAUGUUAUUUAAUAUUACAAAAAAUAUACAAUUAAUUAAUUAAUUAAUUAAUUUAAUUUUAGAUAAUGUUACCAAAAGUUUCAACAUCUUUUUAGAAAAAAGAGAGAGAGAGUAUAAGUUAGAGAGAGAGCAUAAUUAAAAAAAUAGAAAGAAAAAUAUAGUCAAAAUUAGAGGGAAUGAGAGAGUUGAAAUUUUAGAAAGAGAGAGAGAUAAAGCUUCGUUUAGAGAGAGAAAAAAAAGUUGAAUUUUAGAGAGAAAAUAAGUUUAGAGAGAGAUAUAAGGUUAGAGUGUAAAGAAAAAUAAUAUCAAUUAGCCGGUGGUUAAGAAGAAAGAAAGAUAUUAAACAUAUUAUGAUUACCCCAAUCCAUUAAUAUGAGGAUACCCACCAUCCCUCAAGGAAAUGAGAUUAGUACUUUGGGGUGAAUCUUAUUUCCAAGUGAAUCCAAUAUUACCAACUAGAUUACUUAGUGCGUUUAGCCAAACAUCGUCAUAUUUUUUUAUUCCCAUUGGAUUAUUAGGAAUCUUUAAAAGAAAGCGCGAACCAAACGCACCCUUAGUGUACCGGAUUCUUUAAUACUCAAAUUUAGAGAUGGUAACAAUUGGAAUGUAUAUAGUAUAGAUACGAUCUAUGACACUUAAGAUCAGAGUUUUUUUUUUUUUUUUCUGAUUGGAGAUCACUUAUGAUAGUUU
rnacentral:lncRNA from 1 species